CCUACGGGAGGCAGCAGUGGGGAAUAUUGCACAAUGGGCGCAAGCCUGAUGCAGCAACGCCGCGUGCGGGAUGACGGCCUUCGGGCUGUAAACCGCUUUCAGUUCCGACGAAGCGCAAGCGACGGUAGGAACAGAAGAAGGACCGGCCAACUACGUGCCAGCAGCCGCGGUGAUACGUAGGGUCCGAGCGUUGUCCGGAAUUAUUGGGCGUAAGGGGCUUGUAGGCGGUUUGUCACGUCGGAAGUGAAAACUCAGGGCUUAACCCUGAGCCUGCUUCUGAUACGGGCAAACUAGAGGAAUGCAGGGGAGAAUGGAAUUCCUGGUGGAGCGGUGGAAUGCGCAGAUAUCAGGAGGAACACCGGUGGCGAAGGCGGUUCUCUGGGCAUUUCCUGACGCUGAGAAGCGAAAGCGUGGGGAGCAAACAGGCUUAGAUACCCUGGUAGUCCACGCCGUAAACGGUGGGCACUAGGUGUGGGGAACAUUCCACGUUCUCCGUGCCGAGGCUAACGCAUUAAGUGUCCCGCCUGGGGAGUACGGCCGCAAGGCUAAAACUCAAAGGAAUUGACGGGGGCCCGCACAAGCGGCGGAGCAUGCGGAUUAAUUCGAUGCAACGCGAAGAACCUUACCUGGGUUUGACAUAUACCGGAAAGCUGCAGAGAUGUAGCCCCCGCAAGGUCGGUAUACAGGUGGUGCAUGGCUGUCGUCAGCUCGUGUCGUGAGAUGUUGGGUUAAGUCCCGCAACGAGCGCAACCCUCGUCCUAUGUUGCCAGCGGAUAAUGCCGGGGACUCAUAGGAGACUGCCGGGGUCAACUCGGAGGAAGGUGGGGGAUGACGUCAAGUCAUCAUGCCCCUUAAGUCCAGGGCUUCACGCAUGCUACAAUGGCUGGUACAAAGGGCUGCGAUACCGCAAGGUCGAGCGAAUCCCAAAAGCAGUCUCAGUUCGGAUUGGGGUCUGCACUCGACCCAUGAAGUCGGAGUCGCUAGUAAUCGCAGAUCAGCACGUCGCGUGAUACGUCCC
rnacentral:rRNA from 1 species